UCCUCUAGAUGCAUGAAGGGGAGCCCGGCUCAGUAUUUCAGGAGUUAGCGUCUUCUAACUGGGCUGGAUUUCUCAUCUCCAUAGGAUCUGCCUGAAGUGGACAUACAGUGUUUUCCAGGAAAAGACUUUCUCUACAAUUCAAGUCCAAACCAUUAUUAGCUAUUAUGCUCCCUCUCAAUCAAAUGCAAAUAAAACUUCUUCUUGGUGAAGUAAAAGAGGAAGAUAUUAUUUUCAGGAAUAUUUAUUUGUAUAGUUUCAUAUUUACAUGCAAUAGGCUUAGGUAUAAUUUCUGUGCUAUUCCCUUCAAUGGUGAAUGCCCUUUUAAAAUCUGAAAAUCAAAUGAACAUAAAUCUUUAAGUACAGGGGAAAGCAUUGGGCUUCUCAAUGACCCUUCUACCCUCCUUGUACCAUUAAUUAUAACAGGAUUAGAGUAAUGAGGGAUUGCUUAGUAAAACAUGAAGAGAACAUGUAUUUUUUUUUUAAAUACAGGAAUAACGGAUGUAAGGAGCAGCCACUACCCUUAGCGCUGAGAGUACCCAAAGAAGAGCCCACCUCCCCCACCCAGGACUCUGAAGAGGGCACGUGGAUGGUUCACUGGAUGGCAGAGAAGUCACUGGGCUACUGCAAAGGUGGGGCUUACUGGAAAUCCGCCCUUGAAUACUUGCCAGAAAUCCUCCCUGUAGGUGCUAGCGAAAGCCACUCACAGAAAGGGGUCUGGUGGAAGGGACUCAGCCAUGAAUCGGCUUGAGCUCCUGGUGAGGUGCAGGUGAAACUACGAGCUGCUGGGUGCUGCUGAUCUUCACACACUACAGGGGUCAAGUGCUAGAGAGCUGGCUGGUGAUGCAGGAGCCAAGAGCUAGGGAAGCUGCCCAUGCUCCACGCAUUAGGUGCCAGAGAAACUGGGGACCCGCAAAGACCUGCUGAGAAGAGCGCACUAGAACCAAAGAGAAGCCACGUCAUCCUCUAGCGCCCUCUACUGUCAGAGUUUUGUGUUGAGCCAGCUGGCAAAAGAAAACUAUUAGAAGAUUGAACUCUCACAUUGCAGCGCAGGCGGUGAAAGAUGUGCUUGGAGCUGAGAGGCAAAUAAACUGGUACAAAAAUAACUAAAACUAUACAUGGAAGACAAGAGUUAGUGAAUGAAGAUAUGAAGGCAAGCUGCAAGGUUUUGGUGACAACAUUUUGCCCGUUAUGUAUCUCCUCCCCAGAGAUACUGGCUUCAGGGUGCCUUAAACAUACAUGGAAAACACAGCUCAGGAGAAGAAGGCUCAUCCCUUUUCCUUCUUUUAUUAGAAGCGUAAAGACUAAUUUUCUUGUGUCAUGCCCUCCAAGAGAGAGUGGUGCUUGUAAAUAUGGCGAAUGUGUAAAACUGUACAUUUUUAUAAGUGGUUUUAAACCUGAUUUAAAAAAAUUGUUGGGAAACAUAACAAAAUUAGUUCCAAGAUGUUCAUUUGAGUGUUGUCUAUGUAACGACCUCAAUAGUCAUUCUUGUAAAUUUCUGUAAGGAAUUACAGUUUAUUAAUUCACUGGAAUAUUUAUUAUUCCAUAAAAAUGUUGAUGUAAGUCUGUAUUCCUGACAUGGAAAUAUAUUUAGAGAUAUUAAUUAGUGAGGGAGAAGCAGGUUAUAUAACAAAUAUAUAAUGUCACUGCAUUUUUGUUCGGGUGAUAAAUACACAUGCACAGAGUCUGGAAGGACAAAAGUCAAAAUAUUAACAGUGAUCCUUUCUAUAUGAUGGGAUUAAUGAGAUUUUUAAUUUCUUCUGUUUGUUUAUUUCUAUCUUUGAACUUAUCUACAAUGAAAAUAUAUAUUAAUUUGAUAAAAUAAUUUCUUAAAACAACUCACUGACUGCAUAAUAUGAUUAAUUUCACUUUCUAUCACUGAAAUAUUGUUAACAUUUUCUAGCUUUCAGAUAAUGGAGGAAGAGCUAGCAGUAAAAAAAAAAUCCCCACAGAGAAACAAACUUUGAGAUUCCCUGUGUUUUAUUUUCAACUAGAAUCUUAAAGAAGUCCAAAAGAACAGGUAGAGAAAAUCCAGAACCUGUUGUUGAGGCGGCCUGAUGAAGACUUGCCGCAGAACAAAGGGAGAGGGUAGGUGACUGACCUGCCCUUUGCAGAGGCUGUGCAGCGGUCUCCAGGGACUGCCUUCCUGCCAGUAGAUCUGAAUUUCAUUUAGGACAAGCUGAAAAUCCAUAAGAAAGUCCAGGAUCCACAUUUAAACCCAUGUCUCCCACAGUCUGUUCUGCAGACUCUAGUUCCAUGGUAUAUUAGCAGUUGAUAAAACAAGAAAAAUGUUCCAUAUGCUCAAACAGUUUGGGGAAGCCUUUAAAUGAAAUGUUGACAAAUUUAUUUGCAGGAGCUCAUGCACAGAGCCUGGAAUGCGAAGCUGUGCUUGGUGAUCUCCUAAAGAGGUAUCAUGUUCACACGUCUCUAACUAGUGUCCUCUGAGAUCCCUUGUGGAAAACAAAAGUGUCCUGUGGUCAAUAAAGUAGAGAAAUGUGUGUCAAUGGGCUAGAUACCUUCUCAUCUUUGUGUAUCUUUCUUCUUCACUUCCUGUAUUCAAUCCUCUAGCAUUUAUUUGUUUCUCCCUUCACAAUCUUUUUCAAAUGUGUCCAUUUAAAAUCAUAUACUAACGUUGAGCUUCUAUUAAAUACUGGGCAUUUAAAGAACUUUAUAAUUUAGUUUUAAAAACAAUUAUGUAUGCUAAUUUCACCUCCGUUUUCUAAGUAGAGAAACUGAGGUGUAGAAAGAUUGGGUCAAGGGGCUCAUAAGUGACUGAGCUUUGAUUCAUCCUUGAAGUACCUGCUUUCCCCAGGAGCACAUUUCAAUUCUACUUCAAGGACCUUUCUUGUUUUCCCAUGGACAACAGCAACAGUUUGUCUUCCUGCCCUCCAGUCUCUUUUAAUCCACCCAGCUCUGUUUUGUCCCUGCUGCCAGGCUAAUUUCUCUUACACGCAUGUAUCCCAAAGAUCAAGGGCCGCAAACGCUUGUGAUUGAAUCUGGCGGGGGAGGGAGCUGUGAGUUUCCAGUGACUUCAUAGAACUUCACCUGUGGGAAAAAUUUUUCUCCUGCUGUUAAAACUUUCAAAGAAAAAGAAAGUUGAUAAAUUAUCAGAAAGGUGAGACAGUUCUCACUUUCAAGACUGUUUGAAUAUGAGGCAGGUGGAAUCUAGAGAGGAGCCGGAGAUGGAGAAGGGAUGAGCUAAUGGUUUGGCUCUUGCCUGAUGUCCCGCCCCCUGCCAUUGCCUCCUACACACCAAGAAGAGGUGGGUCUAUCUCCAUCGCACAGGAGACCAGGUCUGGAAAAUCUACCAACAAUCCAUGAUGGAAACUGGAAAAGGAAACUGAUGUUUUGAUUAAGCGAAUAUUUGAAAUUAUUUCAUUCCAAAAGAAAAUAUCCCAAUUAAAGUGCCAAGCAUUCAGUAUUCACAAACAGAAAACAGAUGCAACAUGUGUUCAGUUUGAAAGUGACUUGGGAAUAACUCUCCCGAAACUGAAUGUGGACAUAUUUAAACAAUAUAAUUCAUAACAGAGCUCUAGAGGGGUUUCUAAGAGGAGACAAAGGAGUACUAUAGACACACAUUUAGCUAUCCCUAGAGUAUGGGCAUGUACCAAAUGUAAUAAAUAUAUGUCUGCUAUUUAGCUCUGCAAUUUCCACAUGCUUUUUAAGUGACUGCAUUACUGAUUACAUAAGACACUAAAAUCUUUUUUAGGAAUAUAUAUAGUGGUAAUGUUUUUAGAACCAAAUUAUAAAAAUAAUUAACCAGUGGAAAAAUUUUUUUUCUACUUCUCAAAUUCAAUACUUUCCUAAAAAAAUUUUCUGCUUCCUGAUUUGGAAAAUGAACUUGGAGCCAAGAUUUACUUUCUCUUAGAAAGGAAACUUCAAUAAAGUUUUGUCAUUCUUUGAUCCUUUUAGAAAAAUGAGGCUUAUUAGUCUUCAGAAAACAAAAUUCUCUGAUAAUUUCUUGCAUUCCUUUUGCAUAAACGUAGAACUGUUUUUGGAGGGCAAAAUAAUAUCGCAGUUAAAAAUAAUUGCUAUCAGGAUUGCUAAAUUUUAGUCCAUCUCCCAUCCAAGUGAAUAAAAAAUUUUAGCAGGUGCAUAAAAUGCUUCCGUGUAUUUCUAACGAGAAAGUUGAUGGUGGAUACCAAGUUGUAAUGUUUUGCAGUUAAUACUGUCAUCAGUAUUUUGUAUGUAUUUUUUUUUGUUUUUCUUUGUUUAACAAAUGAGAUUUCUCACAUUUUUUAAUGUGUUGUUUUAGCAACAGUUCUCACAUUCAAAAUAAAUUUACAAAGAAUCUACUCAGCAAAUAUGUACUGAGUGCUCACUAUGUACAAAACAUUAUACUGUGUUAUGAACUUUCUAUUUGAAUUAAACAUAUGUAUUGGUUAGCUUAUGUGUUAAUUUCAUAGACUGUUGGUUAAAAGCAAAUUUUCAAUUUGCUUUUCUUUAUUCCAGUUCCUCACUAACCUACUCUACAAUUGAUUCUGUUUCUGUAUAGUCCUGAUUAAUAAAAAGAGUGGGUUUAAUAUGGUGUAUUAUAUCCAAUGAAAUUCAAAAUUAUUAAUCCUAUUAAAAUUGUGGAAUAAGAUUAAACAUUAAAUAAAAUUGGAAAUAUAUAGAUAUGGUAUAUGAUUUAAGAUCAUAUAAACAUAUAUGAACAUCUAAGAUAUGAUAGAUUACAUUAUUUGCCCCAAUUCCCUGCACCCCCCUUUUCCACCACCGUAUCCAUACUGUGUCAUGCAACUUUGCAAUGCUCUCCCACAGUAGAUAUUUUUCUUAUUGACAAUAAUUUACAUUGUGUUUGAUCUCUACCUUUGGCUUAGUCACGUGAAUUGCCUUGGCCAAUAGAAUGAGGCAGAAAUGAUAGUGUGUUAGCUCCAGAAUUAAGUCUUAAGGGAUUUUGCAUAUUUCUACUUUCUCUCCUGUAUUCCUGCCAUCCAUGAAAAAGAUGGGCUAGCCAGUUGCUGGAAAAAAGAAUUUAGACAUGUGGAGGUGAGUUGCCCGCACUAAAGCAACCUAGCCAAACUCGGCCUAGAGCAGAGCUCCCAGCCAACCAAUAGCUGGAGCCCAGCUCCUAUUGGCUAUAUUAGUUUGCCAGGGCUGCCAUAAAUGAAUACCACAGACUAUGGGGCUUAAACAAGAGCAAUUUAUUGUUUCACAGUUCUGGAGUCUAGAAGUCUGAGAUCAAGAUGGGCUGACAGAUUGGGCUUCUCUUCUUAGCUUGUAGGUUGGCUAUCUUCAUGUUCACGUAACAUUCUGUCUCUAGGCAUGUCUGUGUGCAAAUUUCCUCUUCUUGUAAGGAUAGCAAUCAUACUGGGUGAAGCCCACCAUAAUGACCUAUUUUUAAAUUAAUUACUUCUUUAAAGAGCCUUUCUCCAAAUACAGUCACAUUCUGAGGCACUAGGGGUUAGGACUUCAAUAUAUGAAUUUUGAGGGAUGCAAGUCAGCCCAUAACAUCAACCAAACACAACCUAGAUCAGGGAAUCCUCAACUGUCAAACAGAUUCAUGAGCUAUACUAAUAAUAGAUCAGCAUUUUAAGGCAGUGAAUUUUGGUGUGCUUUGUUACAAAACAUUACAACUAGCAUGAAAAAUAUUUUUAAACAAUUAUUGGUGAUGAGAUUGUGAGUAGUUGAAAAAUACUUUUAAGAUUAUUGCUACGUAUUUUUUUAAAUUGGCUGUAUAUGUUUCUGUGUGUAAAGUAAUACUUCUCCAUUGUUAUAAAAACAAAAAAUGUGGUAAUAUAUAAAAUACAAAAACAAGCAUCAGUUGUAAUGUGCCCCCUUUCCCCAUCCGUGGUAGAAAACCGAUGUUAAAUACUUUUUAAUUACUUCCCUAUUUACAAACCCACAUACCAAUACAUAUUUUUACACAAAUAACCAUGCAUAUUUUUAUUAAAAAGGUAUUAUAUUUUACACA